rnacentral:rRNA from 1 species
UCCACGCCGUAAACGAUGAGAGCUAGACGUCAGGCAGCAUGCUGUUUGGUGCCGCAGUUAACGCAUUAAGCUCUCCGCCUGGGGAGUACGGUCGCAAGAUUAAAACUCAAAGGAAUUGGACGGGGGCCCGCACAAGCGGUGGAGCAUGUGGUUUAAUUCGACGCAACGCGCAGAACCUUACCAAUCCUUGACAUACUUGUCGCGGAUCCAGAGAUGGAUCUUUCAGUUAGG